GUAGAUAAAAAGCAUGGAUGAGAGAGACUAAUUAUGAAAUAUACGCAAUUAAUCUUAAAUAUAUAUUGUAUGUAUAUUACUAUACUGAAUAUAAUGCCACGUAAAUUUUUGAAUGGAACGAAUAACUCUGAUAAGAUGAUACACAACACACACGCAAAUUCGAAUUGAAACGUCUGUU
rnacentral:sRNA from 1 species